GUUUGCGCCUCUGCCGUAUCUGUGUUCAAGCCUCAGUGGACAUAUACUCACCUAUCUUGGAGAUAUGAUAUAUAGUAAUAUAGCUCAUUGGGUUCUUUCCAUUUGCUGCCAAGCUUUAGUAGGGUAUUGUUUACUACCCUGGCUUUUCUUGUCCUAGCAGAAGCACAAAACUAAUCAGGACCAACCACUGCAAAAUGUGAUUGACAUAGAUCUCACACAUCUCUUCAACAUUGCACAAACAUGGGUGCCUUUUUCAUUCCUUGUGCUACGACAAUAUUUUUAGCUCAUUCGGGGUACUGUACAAUCCAGAGUUUCUUUUUCGAUGCCAUACCAAUCGUUUGUCUCUGCUUGCUGAGACUUGAAGAAAACUUUGGUGCGUUGUCUCUUUUCAUUUCUGUCAGAUUCAUUGCUGCCUUCCAGCAAUCCAGCUCUUUACCCUUUACAGUAUUUCCUUUCCGA
rnacentral:lncRNA from 1 species